rnacentral:rRNA from 1 species
CAGCAGCCGCGGGAAUACGUAGGGUGCGAGCGUUAAUCGGAAUUACUGGGCGUAAAGCGUGCGCAGGCGGUGAUGUAAGACAGUUGUGAAAUCCCCGGGCUCAACCUGGGAACUGCAUCUGUGACUGCAUCGCUGGAGUGCGGCAGAGGGGGAUGGAAUUCCGCGUGUAGCAGUGAAAUGCGUAGAUAUGCGGAGGUACACCGAUGGCGAAGGCAAUCCCCUGGGCCUGCACUGACGCUCAUGCACGAAAGCGUGGGGAGCAAACAGGAUUAGAUACCCCCGUAGUCCCUGUCUCUUAUAC